UACGUAGGGACCAAGCGUUGUCCGGAAUCAUUGGGCGUAAAGGGCGCGUAGGUGGUUCUGUAUGUCUACCGUGAAAGCGUACGGCUCAACCGUAUUUUGUCGGUGGAAACUGCAGGACUUGAGGCUGGGAGGGGCUGGUGGAAUUCCCUGUGUAGCGGUGAAAUGCGUAGAGAUGGGGGAGAACACUCGUGGCGAAGGCGGCCAGCUAGACCAGUUCUGACACUGAGGCGCGACAGCGUGGGGAGCAAACAGG
rnacentral:rRNA from 1 species